rnacentral:sRNA from 1 species
AGAAGAAAAAACGCCUAGGACUAAUCCAAAUUGUCCUAGGCAUAGGGGAAUGGCUCAUAAUGAGCCGUGCGCUAACUCAAAAAUAUUUCACAAACUUUAGGGAGAAGUGAAAGUAACAUUAAGUGUAGUUA